rnacentral:SRP_RNA from 2 species
GGAGGCUGGCGGCGGACGGACCGAUCGCCAACCGGGUCAGGUCGGGAACGAAGCAGCCCUAACGAUUUUGGAACGGGUCGCUGUCCAGUCUCCGCC